UGGGGAAUAUUGGACAAUGGGCGCAAGCCUGAUCCAGCAAUGCCGCGUGAGUGAUGAAGGCCUUAGGGUUGUAAAGCUCUUUCGCACGCGACGAUGAUGACGGUAGCGUGAGAAGAAGCCCCGGCUAACUUCGUGCCAGCAGCCGCGGUAAUACGAAGGGGGCUAGCGUUGUUCGGAAUUACUGGGCGUAAAGGGCGCGUAGGCGGCCUGUUUAGUCAGAAGUGAAAGCCCCGGGCUCAACCUGGGAAUAGCUUUUGAUACUGGCAGGCUUGAGUUCCGGAGAGGAUGGUGGAAUUCCCAGUGUAGAGGAUGAAAUUCGUAGAUAUUGGGAAGAACACCGUGGCGAAGGCGGCCNUCUGGACGGACACUGACGCUGAGGCGCGAAAGCGUGGGGAGCAAACAGGAUUAGAUACCCUGGUNGUCCACGCCGUAAACGAUGAAUGCUAGACGUCGGGGUGCAUGCACUUCGGUGUCGCCGCU
rnacentral:rRNA from 1 species